rnacentral:rRNA from 1 species
AUACGUAGGGUGCAAGCGUUAAUCGGAAUUACUGGGCGUAAAGGGUGCGCAGGCGGUUCUGUAAGUCAGAUGUGAAAUCCCCGGGCUUAACCUGGGAACUGCGUUUGAAACUGCAGAGCUAGAGUGCAGCAGAGGGAGGUGGAAUUCCAUGUGUAGCAGUGAAAUGCGUAGAGAUAUGGAAGAACAUCGAUGGCGAAGGCAACCUCCUGGGCUAGCACUGACGCUCAUGCACGAAAGCGUGGGGAGCAAACAGGAUUAGAUACCCUGGUAGUCCACGCCCUAAACUAUGUCAACUAGUUGUCGGGUCUUAUUAGACUUGGUAACGUAGCUAACGCGUGAAGUUGACCGCCUGGGGAGUACGGUCGCAAGAUUAAA